GAUGAAGAACGCAGCGAAAUGCGAUAAGUAAUGUGAAUUGCAGAAUUCAGUGAAUCAUCGAAUCUUUGAACGCACAUUGCGCCCCUUGGUAGUCCGGGGGGCAUGCCUGUUCGAGCGUCAUUUCAACCCUCAAGCUCUGCUUGGUAUUGGGCACCGUCCUUUGCGGGCGCGCCUCAAAGACCUCGGCGGUGGCGUCUUGCCUCAAGCGUAGUAGAAUACACCUCGCUUCGGAGCGUAAGGCGUCGCCCGCCGGACGAACCUUCUGACCUUUUCUCAAGGUUGACCUCGGAUCAGGUAGGGAUACCCGCUGAACUUAAGCAUAUCAAUAAGCGGAGGA
rnacentral:misc_RNA from 1 species